rnacentral:rRNA from 1 species
CUGCUGUUAUACAGAAAGAAAAGAUAUAGGAGUGGAAAGCCUAUAUUAUGACGGUACUGUAUCAGAAAGUGACGGCAAACUAUGUGCCAGCAGCCGCGGUAAUACAUAGGUCACAAGCGUUAUCCGAAAUUAUUGGGCGUAAAGCGUCCGUAGGUUGUUUGUUAAGUCUGGAGUUAAAGACCGGUGCUCAACGCCGGCACGCUUUAGAUACUGGCAAACUAGAGUUAUAAAGAGGUAAGUGGAAUUUCAUGUGAAGCGGUGGAAUGCGUAGAUAUAUGAAAGAACACCAAUGGCGAAGGCAGCUUACUGGUUAUAUACUGACACUGAGGGACGAAAGCGUGGGGAGCAAACAGGAUUAGAUACCCUGGUAGUCCACGCCGUAAACGAUGAUCAUUAGUUGGUGGGGGAACCCUCGCUAACGCAGCUAACGCAUUAAAUGAUCCGCCUGAGUAGUAUGCUCGCAAGAGUGAAACUUAAAGGAAUUGACGGGGACCCGCACAAGCGGUGGAGCAUGUGGUUUAAUUUGACGAUACGCGUAGAACCUUACCCACUCUUGACAUCCCUUGCAAAGCUAUAGAGAUAUAGUGGAGAUUAACAAGGUGACAGAUGGUGCAUGGUUGUCGUCAGCUCGUGUCGUGAGAUGUUCGGUUAAGUCCUGCAACGAGCGCAACCCCUAUCCUUAUUUACUAACAUUAAGUUGAGAACUAUACGGAUACUGCUCAGGUAACUGGGAGGAAGGUGGGGAUGACGUCAAAUCAUCAUGCCUCUUACGAGUGGGGCAACACACGUGCUACAAUGGCCGGUACAAAGAGACGCAAUAUGGUGACAUGGAGCAAAUCUGAAAAACCGGUCUCAGUUCGGAUUGAAGGCUGCAAUUCGCCUUCAUGAAGUCGGAAUCGCUAGUAAUCGUAGAUCAGCUACGCUACGGUGAAUACGUUCUCGGGUCUUGUACACACCGCCCGUCACACCAUGGGAGCCGGUAAUGCCCAAAGUC